AUUAAACACAAAAAUGGAGUUUGGUUGAAGUUGUAGAAUAGACAUAUUCCAUGGAGUUGACCUCAAAUAGUUCCAAUUGCAACUGGAGCACAGGCUUGGCUUCUUAGUUAACAAUUAAAGGGCAGGGUGGAACCUUUAACUUUAAGUAAGGUGGGUGUCAAAGCAAAUGAUGAAAGAGAAGUGAAGACCGAAGAGUUUAGAGGUCGACUGAUCCGACUCCCAAAAGUUGUGGCGACAAAGCUCGCUCUCCAUCGUCUAUCUAGCAAUGGAGGAAGGAAGUUGUUCUGGCGAGACUAAGAAAGAAAGGGGAGAGAGUUUGAACCAUACAAUUUUGACACCAGAAAGGCAGAAACUUUUGCCCCAAUUCGAAAGAAAUUUAUCUAUGGAUGCCAUUUUGUGCCCUCUCUUUUCUUCUUGGGGUGUGCUGCCAAAGUUCGGUUAGGGAUGUCAUGUGAAUCAUUCCAUAUUUUCGAGUUUGUUCCUAAGUUCCUCAACCUGACCAACCCGACUAGAGUGGUUAACCCAAUCCAACCCAUUCCAUCCUUCGUAUCACGAAAUUGGGUCUUGGGUUUUAACACCUUGAAUCAACAAAUUUUAAUGGAGAGACAAGGCAAGAUGACUCACAAUUGGAUUAUAGCAGAGAUGCCCAUGUGAUGAGGAAAGAUUUAAAUAUACUUGUUUUAAAUAAUGUUAUAAAAUAUCCUAAUACAAAAAAUAAUACUCUACCAUCAAAAAUAUGAUUUUAAUGUUCAACCAACCUAGUAUCAAAAAAUUCAAAAUUUAAUAUCCAACAACUUAUUUACUAUAACAACAACAAUAAUAAACAAUAAGUGAAUAAUUGGGGUGGGGCGGAAACAUGGACAUGGACAUGGACAUGGACGAGGAAUAAAGUUUUCGUCCCCAUCCCAAUUUAGUCAACGGGAAAAAAAACUCUCCUUCCUCCCUCCCCUGUUCAUUAAUAAAAUUUAAACACCAUACAAAAUUAAUAAACACAUCUUUAAAACCAACUCAAAUUUACUCUAUUGAAUUGGUCAUGAAAGUUUAGAAACUAAAAUGAAAUUUCACGAAUGGAUCGUGAAGUGGAGGAAUGAGGCAUUGGCAUGUUGAAAAUUUGGGUACACAACCACUCUAAGCCUCUUCUUGUCAUCCAACUCCUAUAAGCAUAUGGGCUUCUGAUGUUUGUUCAUUUCACCUACCAAUCCUUUCCCUCUUUUUAAAGUUUCCUCCUUCAACCUCUCAUAAUUGCUAAUGUUUUAUGCCUUUUUGGCCUACACAGCCACACCCAGAGGAUCCCAUGUUAUGACUCACUGUAAUGUCCCUUUCGAUUCAAACAAAUUAUUCACUGUUCUCAUUCUACCAUUCACGUUCUAUGACAUGUUAUCGUUUCUUCCAUUAUUUGCUAUUUUAAAGAAGAGUCUAUUUCUACUGAUCUCUAUGUAUAUAAAUCAUUGAUGACGUAGAAAUCGUAUAUAGAAAAGUAGACAGUUGGUUAGAAGAAUAAAAUGUCGAUAGCUACAAGACGAACAUUGUAGAUUAUGAGGUGACUGUCGAUUAUGACCCCUUGGUGCCUUAUCUAGCUUCUCUUGGGCUUCUGGUUCAUCUAGUUACUCUCCAUGUAGGGUACAAGUACUUUUCAUGCUCUAUAUGUCCACGUCCACGUUUAGGAGCAUUUGAUGAUGAGGGAUCAACCUCAAAAGCAUAAUAUAGUGGAGUAUGAAGAUAUCAUGAAUCAACACGGGAUCGAUUUCAUCAACUUUAGAGAAGUUUUGAUCUCUCCCUCAAACACUUUUGGUACAACUUGUUUCAUGUCUACUUGUCUCGUUACUCUGUUGGAUAUAUGCUAAUCAACAACAUGAAAUCAUAUGGGAAAACUUACCGUACACUAGAUAUCGUGACCGUUUCUACAUUAAUUAGGUAAUGUCGUGAUGACAUCGAUAUGAAGCUUUCAAAUACAAUCCUUAGAACCCUUAGAGAUGAAACCAAUUUAGAUCAAGGACAGAAAGAUAAGAAAACUUAAUAUUCUUACCUCAACAUUGGCCAAUUCAGCCAAUCCAUACUGCCCGUAGUUCCUCCCAUUGUUCAUCAACGAGCAUAGACAGAUUGGGGAUAGGAGACUGGUGUGUGGACCAGUGGUGGGGUUUUGGAAAACUUCUUUAGAAGUUAAUGAUUAGAGACGAAUGGGGUGUAGGGUCUGUGUAGCUUGAGUGCAUGUGUGACUUGAGUACUGUCCUUGGGCGAGAUGCUGCUAUUGAAUCCCUUUUUUAUGCUAGAGUUGUCAUCAUCUCAUCAUCUUCACAACCUUUAUUUUAAACUUUUAACCAUCCCAACCCAACACCCGACUGCAAAUAAUACCCGACCAUAUGAACAUCGAUACGUUAUAUAGUCUCUCUUUCAUGUAGAUACUCUAUCCCUUCUGUCUCUCCUUGGAGCAUAUAGAUCCACCCAAUCAAUGAACAAAAGCAAAACAAAUUUAAAAAAGAACAACAAAUGGGUAAGGAGAAGAGGAGAACAAUAUCUAGGCAAGCCCUGAGCCAAACUCGAAAACGAGCCGGGAAUAACAUGAAGAGUCUAGGAAAGAUUCGACAUGGAGUGGAAGUACUUGGUCGUUGGAGUUUCCUUUUCCUCAACCGAUGAUUUAUGUCGUUAUAGUUGAAAGACGUAUAACAAAAUAAGGCUCAAUCAAGUGUCAACAGUGGAAUGUGGAAGACAAACAGACACUUUUAGAAAGUAGCUUUUUUUUUCCCUUUCCAAAUGUUAGUUAGAUCAGACCCCCUCCUCUCCUCUUUCUUUCCUUCAUUUACACCUUUCUCCACUUUUCUCUCUUCCACAGACUCAGUUCAGCCUCCCAUUCCAAGCUUCCAAAGACUCAGAAGAAGAAGAAAAUGAGUAAAGAAGAAGAAGAAUUAGAAUUCUCCCCUUCAGCUCAGUUUGUGUCUGAAAUCUCCCAAUGCUUCUCCUUACUUCUCUCACACCCUCUCUAUUUCUCUUAUUUCCUGUUCUUCUCCCCUUAUCUUCUCAGGCUCCUCUCCUUUGUUUCCCCUCUUUUGGCCACCACAUUCCUCUUGAUCCUCCAGCCCUUUUUCUCCCAUACCCACCAAACCCAUUUAGAUGACCAAACAUUCCCUCUCCCUCAGCAUCUUGAGUGGUUCAACACUGUCUUCAACGGACCCACUGGCAUCCCCACAAACCCAUUUCCACUUCAAGAACCAGAGAUCAACAAACAAGAAGCAAAAGAAGAGGAUCAUGAGGAUGAAGAGACUAGAGAAAAUGGGAUUGAAAUGGGUAAGAAGAGCUUUUUGGUGGGGUGUAAAGAGUUCGAAGAUGAUGAGGAUAAAAUGGAUUUGCUUUGGGAGAAGUAUGAGGAGAAGGAUGAAAAGAGCUGCAAUUUAAAGAAGGAUUUGAGGAGUUUGGUGAAUCUUCAAAAGGAAAUGGAAGAA